GUGCUCACUUCAGCAGCACAUACACUAACAAAGAAGAUUAACAUGGCCCUGAACAAAGGAUGACAUGCAAAUUUAUGAAGUGUUCCAUAUUUUU
rnacentral:snRNA from 1 species